rnacentral:rRNA from 1 species
AUUGAACGCUGGCGGCAGGCCUAACACAUGCAAGUCGAGCGAGCGGCGGACGGGUGAGUAAUGUAUGGGGACUGCCCGAUAGAGGGGGAUAACUACUGGAAACGGUGGCUAAUAACGCAUACUAUCGGAUAACCCAUAUGGGAUUAGCUAGUAGGUGGGGGAAAGGCUCACCUAGGCGACGAUCGCUAGCUGGUCUGAGGGGAUGAACAGCCACACGGGGACUGAGAAACGGCCCAGACUCCAAGGGAGGCAGCAGUGGGGAAUAUUGCACAAGGGGGGCAAGCCUGAUGCAGACAUGCCGCGUGUAUGAAGAAGGCCUUAGGGUUGUAAAGUACUUUCAGCGGGGAGGCGGUACCCGAAGAAGAAGCACCGGCUAACUCCGUGCCAGCAGCCGCGGUAAUAC